rnacentral:lncRNA from 1 species
AGGUGGAAAAUGGUCUUCUCAUCAAGGUACUUCUCAGGAAUAACCGGCUUGAUGACAUGCUCCUUCAAAUCAGCGGCAAUCUCGUCAUUAGUCACAGUCUCAUCAUGCUGAGUGGAGAUGAGCACAGUGUGCACACGAACAGGCACCAUGGCACCCUUAUCGUUGUAAUACUCAACCGUGACUUGAGUCUUGCCAUCAGGCCUGAGCCAAGGGCAAGUUCCAUUUUUGCGUACUUCAGUGAGGCGAGCACCAAGCUUGGUUGCCAAAACAUGGCUCAGAGGCAUCAAUUCAGGAGUCUCGUCAGUGGCAUAGCCAAACAUAUGGCCCUGAUCACCAGCACCAAUUUCCUCAGGGCGCUUAGUGAGAUGGCCGUGAACACCUUGGGCAAUAUCAGGGCUUUGUUGCUCAAUGUUAACUAGCACUUUGCAGUUGUCAGCAUCGAGACCCACAUCAUCAGAUGUGAAACCGAUGCCACGGCAGGUGUCACGCACGAUCUUCUCGUAGUCAACGUUGGCUUUGGUAGUGAUCUCGCCAAAGACCAUGACCAUGUUGGUCUUGGUGCAGGUCUCACAUGCUACCUUGCUUUCAGGGUCCUGUGCCAAGCAGGCAUCGAGGACGGCGUCGGAGAUCUGAUCACAGAGCUUGUCAGGAUGUCCCUCGUUCACAGACUCCGAGGUGAACAGGAAGGUCUCCAUCACUUAAUUUCUGCAAAACCAAUUUGAUAUACUCUUUAUUCAACUAAAAAAAAUAUAUGCUAAAUAAUGUAACAAGAAAUCUAAUUUCCAAAUUGAAUGACUAUAUUCAAAACAAAAAUAAAAACAGGCUACCAGAUCUGUAACUCUAAUGCAUCAACUUCACAGCACUACUUACAGGCAGCAUAGAGACACAUGUGUAACAGAAAGAGUUAAAAAGCAAAUCCGAAAUAGCAAAGAUGACUUAGUAUUUCAUAGGAAAAAUAUGAACUGGGAAGUGAAUGACCCUCGUACACAAUCAAAUACAAAUAGCAUAACAAGUGAAGUGAAACAAAAGAGAAAGAAGAGAGUGGGUACCCUUGCUGCUGUAAGAGAAGGAAUGGUAGGGAUUUUGGUUAUGCGGCCCUCGAAAUUGAAUGCAAGAGGAGAGAAGAAGAGUAUUAGGCGAGUUCUAAACUUAGGGUAGAAAGAGAGUAUAUAUAGGGCAAUUUAAGAGAAGAGAAGGCAACUGCCCGGAAAUAGAUUCAAUGGGGUGUGGUGGGUGAGAUUUGAAUCCGACGGUUAUUGAUAAACAAAUGUGCUGAAUGUGAGGCCGCGUAUAUCAAGCACGUGUCGGUGUGGUUUAUCUAUUUGGAUUGUUGGAAAGGAGAAAGGAGGAGCAGCCGAGUCCGAGUCGGUUGGUGAGAUUGAUUAUAUUUUCUUUGGGAAAUGCAAAUCCCACCAGCUGUCUUAAUUACUGCUGUAUCAGAAUUACCUGUCCCUGGACGUUUCUUAUUACCAUACCAUUUCUGACCAUUAACCCCACUUUCCAUUCAAGGCCCUCUCACUACUCUCCUUUCUCAUUUAUUUUGACCUUUUUCUGUUGUAUUUUGAGGUCAUACGUAGUUGAUUUUAUGCACGAAAAUAUAAUGUUAUUUACAUGAGAUAAUUAACUUAAUAAUUCUAUUAUAUACGUGAUGAUAAUGUUUUUUUGAAUAAAUUCGCAAAGUUUUAUUUAUCUUCUUUAUUAUUUCAGGCAUUACCAACAAACAUGCAAUGCAAUAGGUUUCAUCCCCAAGAAACAAAGUUAUAGGCAGUAUUAGAAGCAAACAUCUUCUGUAUACUGUUGGACCAAAAAUAAAAUACUUGAAAGAACAUGCAAUUGCCUUUGGAUUUUGGAGGUGGCCUGCGGAUGAUGGUUGGUGAGAUAACGAUGGGAUGUUGCAUCCUCAGUCCUCACCUCUUUGACGUUACCAACCUACCAACCAAAAACAUAGUCAGAUUCUAAUACCUCCCUUCAUCUUAAAGGGAUUUUAUAAUCAUCAAAUCACUAUCAAUACCAAACUCACUAAACAUGCUAUGAAUGGCAUCUUUUAUCAUUGAUAAGCAUUAUUUCUCCUUUUCCUGAGCUCAUUUCCUAGCUUGGUAACAAACACUUGACUUCCAAUCACACAACUUUCAUCCAGGAGGUUAAUUAUCCGUUAGAAACAUCAUUAAACGUUCUAAUUGGGAUGAACUGAUCAAAUCACCAUUGAUGUUUUAAUCUGUAAAAGCGCCUGCUGUAUUUUUCCUUGGCAUCUAGGCAUUGCAAUAAGAAAAUUAAUUUGAAAAAUGUUGAGCAUGGCAUGAUGAUCAUUGCUGAAAUUUAGCUCUGACAAUAAAAAAUUGACAUCCAAAUUCGGGUCAAAACAGGGUUAAACUAUCAUUAAGCUCAGAAGUAAACUUAGACUCAACCACCCAUACAAGCAUGAGCAGAAAAGUAGCACUCCAUCCCAUAAAAUUCGGGGAGAAAAUCGAAGACAACCGUGCAAUUGCAACUUUUAUGUUUCUGCCAUGAAGAAACAAAGCACAUAACAUAACAGAAAAGCUUACAUCCACCGUCCGGGACUCGCAGCCAGACUCAUUAUAUUUUGUUGGUUAAAUUUCUAGAUCAAUAAAAUGAGUUAAAAAGGAUCCCGUAACAGAUUCUACAUUGCAGACUAGUACAAUCUACUGGCUUGCUGCUACAAUGCACAUAUGAAUCACAGUUUUUAGCUAUGAAGAACAUAACGUUCGCCCUGCAGCUGGAGAUUUCGACCUUGAGUAGCCCAGGGCAAUUAGCUUCUCUACCAACUUCUUUUCAGCAUUUUCCUGAAAAAACUCAGAAGAAAAUGGGGAACAAAAUGAUGAUAUGAACACAAAGAUCAACAAUAUAUUAUGUCAAAAUGUCAAUAGACUAGUGAAGUGAAUUGAAAGAACAUGCGUUGGCAUAAAGAGAAAGAGGCAAAAAAAAAGGCAAAACCUCAAGCAUGGGGCUAUUUUUUGGGAUAUUGCAAGCCACAAUUACAUUGGGGCCAGUUUUAAGCACCGCAAAACAAUCAAUUUGCUUUGAAUUCAACCCCGCUAAUCAUAUAUAGUAAUAAAAUGUUGGUAAAAUUAAAGAAAAUGAUCCAAUCGUCGAGCAAUUCCAGAGACAGUGUUAUCUGAAGCACCCCAAGUAUGGAAGUCACGCUCACCGUAUUACUCUGUUGAUAGCCAUAAAUCUUGUUUUAGCUUUCAGCAACAAAUCAUAAUGCUGAUUAAAAGUAAUGAAUUAAAGAAAAACGAAACUUACAGGUCGUCUAGGAGCAGCAGCAUACAAGUUUCCGAGUUUAGCAGAGUUACAGCCCAUCCAUGCGUAUAUCUAUCAAAUAAAUAAUUACUUGUAAUCCCAAACUCAUUAGUAGAAAAAUAAAGAGGAAUAGCAUAACUGAUUAGGAAGGCAAAUGAUCUGAAAGUGGAGGGGGUCACGUCAUCCACGAGCUCUGUGAAGCUCGUCACUUGCACGUCGCCGAGGCCGAUGUCGUCUUGCCCCACAGAAGCAACGCCUGCCGCUUCAGAUUCCGACGCUUUACAAGAAGAAGAAGAAGAAGAAGACAUCUUUCUCUUCCUUCACGUUUCCGUAUACCGAAUUAGCUCACUCACCGAGUCUAACUCUCAAAAUUUUUUGGGUUUUCUACUUCUUGGCUGCUUUUGCUUCCUUUCUCUUCAGUCGAUGAUACCCAAAGACUAAAGCAUUUUUCCCUUUUUGCCUCUUUCAACUCACGAUUGGGCCUGGACAGCGGAUUCCGAAAGCUCAAAGCCCUUUUUUACGGCUCUGCAUUAUUGGACUAUAAAGGUUCAAAAGCUGAAGCCUAGUCAUAGAAAAAAAAGGGUUCGAAGCCCGUAUUAAGGGUCUUAUUAUUAUUAUUUAUAAUUAAUGAUAGGAUCUCAGUCGUUUUCUCAUGUCUAUACUCUGUCUUCCUAUGAUUUUGGCCAACUUCCAUAUGUGGCAUGUUGCCCACAUGACUUAUGGCUAUGAGUUGGUUUAAGACAUGAAUGAGAGCUCUUAAGUUCUAACAGACAAAAGGAAAUCAAGUGGAUUAAAACAAAUACACGAGUUCGAGAUACAUUGAACUUGAUGUUGAUGAUAAACGUGGCCAAUCCCAACAAAGCUCCAGGGUGUUCCAGACACAACCUGAUCAUUUCACCAACUCUGAAACUGCCAACAUUUUGCAGCUCCAACUCCAAAUCCAAGUACUAUUUUCAACAUCAAGUAGCUUAACAGACAGAGUUGCAGAAAGGAUGACCUUGGGGACACCAUCAACUCAAGCAUACGGUAAGCCAUGGUACUAGGACAACCGCUACGCCCACGAAUCAGCUCCCUUUGAUUGGUGCCAAAAAUACCUUGCCUUAGCUCCCCUUAUCCACCUUUAUGUCCCCAACCGCCAUCAACGCAUUCUCGUUCUCGGCUGCGGCAACUCAGGUGCCAGCUCCUCAAAACCAAUGCAUACCCUUUACAGAUCUCUCAUUUUUAUGUAACAAAAGUCCACAUUUUGCUGUGUUUAAUGAAGACAUGGCGAACGAUGGAUACGAGGAUGUUGUCAACGUCGAUACAUCCUCUAUGGUCAUCGAAGCUAUGCAAACUAAGUACCCCAACCGUCAACAGCUAAAAUGUAUCCUUGUAGAAUGGCUUUGUGUUGAAAUUUUUUACAGUAAAAUUAAAAUACAAGGAAAUGAAAAGUUUUUGACAUGUUCUUCUUGUUAUUUCUUAAAUGAAAUGAAUUUGCAGAUAUUAAAUUAGAUGUACGAGACAAAGAUUUAAAUAACAGUCGGAUAGCGGUGUAGCAGCCGCUAUUUCACAGUCGCGUCAUUAUCCGUCAUUGCUAUUGGAGAAAAAACGAAAAAGAACUUGAAUUUCAUCUAUAACGGACGAAUCACAAUCGCAAAUUAUGGUGUAAUGGUGAAUAGUAACAAAUAGCGAUCCACUAUUGUUGCUAUUCCUAUUUUCAUUAAAAAAAAAUUCGCUUCAACGUUCUGGUGUAGGCAAUUCGUUAAUAUUCACCGUUGGGAGGUGAGGUUUUUUUUUGACCUUUUGAUGUGACUUCCAGUUCGAGAAAUGAUCGAGGCAUUAAAAUAUGCACCUUGAUCUUCUUGCUUAUUGAAUAGCCGGGUGAACGAACAUCCACAUGGCGGAGAGGAGUAGGGAAGAGCUUAGAAUAAGAAUAAGAAGAUUACUAUGAAGGCGCUGAAGAUUCCAUUGCUGUGGUCAAUCAAUGCUUAAAAGAAUUUGCAACACACUGGCAUCUAAGCCACAGAAUGACGAGCUGCCUGUAGCAUUUUCACACUAAUGGGAAACAAAGUCGAGGAUGCUAAAUUUCUUCUGUUUAAAGACUUAAAAUAAAAACAGCAAGAAAGAAAAUAAACAUCAAUUUAUAAAUUCAGAAAAAAAAAUUCACAAAACUUAAACUUUCAAAAGUAUCAGUUCUCUCAAAUUUAACUUCAAUCAAAAUCAAGUACAUGUAAUUUAAGGUAAGUAGUUAAUUCAACACUCAAAUUACCUUUUUUUUUUUUAAAUUUUCAAAUUUACUGUGAUUUUGUGUGUUUGAGAUUAAAUUGGACUAUGAUACAUUGGUAGAAAGAGGCAGGAGUUAUUGGGACUUAAAAUGAGAGACAAGAGAUGAGAGUGAGACUUGAGGUUGACAGAAGUAAGCAGAUAGCACACACCAAAUAAAAAGAGAACUGAAAGAUGGGGAUGAGGAUGACGGUUUGGAGAAAAAAAUUAUUGAAUGUAAGGUGAAGAGAUGAAAAGUUGUGUGGGUCUAUACAAUUUAGUCAAAAGGCAGAAGAAGUAGACUUGAGGCUAUCAUUGUUGAAAAUUGCCCACAACAUGGAGGCUGUCAAGUUUGAUUUAUUGUAAGUUCGUAAAAAAUAAUUCUCUUGACUCAUAAAUAAUAAUGCUCUUACUUAAUUUAUGAAUAUUUAAUCACUUAUUAUAUGAUUCAUGAUAAUAUAGUUCAAUAAUAAUUUGAUGAGUACGAUAAUUAAAUAAUUAAAUAUAUCAUUCAUUAUGAUUAUUUAUUUUUCACAUGUUUAUUUAUCUCUUGUUAUUUUUUAAUUAUCAUAUAAAUAAUUUUUUAAAUAUGAAUAUUUUACUAUAAAUAUUUUUUUAAAAUAAAUAAAACACAUGAUAUGAUAUAAAUUACUUUAAAAAUCAUAAAAUAAGAAGUUUUAUGAUUAAUAAUUAAAAUUAUUAUAUUUUAUAGUAAGUUGAGCAAAAUUAAAAAAAUUUACGAUCGCGAUAGCCGUAAUAACUACAAAAGUCUCCGUUAUAUCCGCAACUGUGACAAAUGUGACACAACCGAAAACAUGACCGCUACCGCAAUUUAAAUCCUUGGUACGAGAUAUUAGUCCAUUUCAAGCUGGUUCCUUUGAUGCAGUUAUUCAUAAAAGUUCCAUUUGGUUUUGUGAUUGCAAGUUUUUUUUUUUUAAGCUAAUUUCAAAGUCUAUUUAGAUGCCUACAAUCAAAUGAUAUAGAAUAUUUCAAACAUAGUGAAGCGUAGAUAUUUCUUUUGGUACAUAAUAUAAAAGCUAUCCCCAAUUAUCUCGUUACUCCAAUUUAUUAUACAUGUAUGUGAUGUCUUCAAAAAAAAAUUUGAGGGUAAAUUUGGGCAUAGAUUUACAGCUUUUUUCUUGUAAGAUUAAAGCUUCUGCAUAAAGAAGCUUCUGGAUUUUAUGAUUUCAAAAGCUUCUCCACAAACGGUAAUGAAAAAAAGAGAAGGAAAAGGGAACAACGAGAAAGAGGGGAAGGCGACACAAGAGAGAAGAAAUCACCAACCAACGAAAGUUGCAACCGGGGUUGAAGAACUAAAUAGAGAAGCAAUGAGCAACGGAGAGGUAGAGGGAGGGAGAAUGAUAGAUGAACGGUAACACCAACGAUUUUUAUUGAAGAAAAGUAAUGGUUGAGAAAGAAAAAAAAAGAGAGAAGAAGCUAGGAAGGAGUAGUCGGUGGAAGCUUGAAAAUUAGAGACUGUUAGAAGAUGUCUCCUACCAUUAGAAUGUUGGUCUAUUUGUUGGAUCUGAAUUUUUUUUUUUCAUUUUCAAAACAUUUGUAAUAAGAAAAAAGGGAAAGAAGUGGAGAUUGUGUCAAUGAUGGUGACAACAAAAGCAUCAACUAUUGUAGUGAGAUGGUUUUAGUUUUGGUUUUGAUUUGGUUUUUUCCACCUGCUUGAAUUUUAUUCUUUUUUUUAGUCUUGAUUAUAUUUGGAUUUGUUAUUUUUUUAAUUAUAUUUUGUCAUUGAUUUUCACUUUGGUUGUUGAUAUUAUUUUAGGUGUAGCAAGGUUAAAUUUGGAUUUAAGUAAUUUAGUAGCAGACUAACAAUAAUAGUUUAAUAGUAUUUUAAUUGAUUUUCUUUUAUUAAUAAAGCAAGCAACUUAAAAAAGUUAAGGCAUUUAUUAGAGUUACCAAAAGCUAAGACAUGGUAGAUUUUGUGGAAGGCAGAUUUAGACGAAGAUGGAAGCUUUGAUGAUCCAAUUCAAGUUUGUAAUGGUGUCUACCAUGUUGCCACACCUAUGGAUUUUGAGUCUAAUGAUCUUGAGGUAUUAAUAUCAUAUAGAAAGUUAUUGGUAUACUAGCUUGAAUUAUAUGAAACUAUUCUAAGCUGAGUUUUUUGGCCUUUAAUUUCUAAUCUAAAGUUGAAGGUUAACAUGAAUUGUUGCUUAAAGUCAAAAAUUAAAGUAGACCACAAUCAACUUUUAUUUUGCUUUUUUUUUUUUUACAUUAUGAAAAAAUUUAAAAGAAAAAACAGCACCUAAUUUUAAUGAAUUAAGCUAUUAGUUUAUAUAAGGAUAUAUUAAUAAAACAUAAAAUUAAUUAUUUUUUUUAUUUUCAAAAUGAAGUUAUAAAACCAAUAAUUCAUGGAGUGAUAAGUAUAAUGAAAGCAUGCGCUAAAGCCAAAACUGUUAGAAGUUUAGUGUUCACUCAUUUGCUACAAAAUGUUAUAGAACACCAAAAGCCUUCUUAGGAUGAAAGCCAUGAAUUUAUCCAGACUAAGAGAAUGACUGGUUGGGUUAAUAAAUGCUACUAGCUUUCAAAAUUCCUAAUGAAAACACAAUCAAAAGGAAAAAAUUGCCAUAAUCUAAUUAAUUUUCAUAAAAUUUGAUAAGAAAAGGGGGUAGUGGUCAAUUUAUAGGGGUUGCCUUCAAGACGACAAUGAACUCUUUGUGAAAAUCCUAAAGCCUUUUGAAGAUGUAUUGAAGGAGUUUAUUUUAAAAAUUAAGAUUAUUACUACUUAUUUCCCCCUUAGGUUUUUGCUAUGAAAAUAACAAUCUCCUCUUGAUUUAAGAUUUCUUAUUAAGAAGAAGCCUUGAGGGGGUAUGCUUUUCUUUUUAUCUACUCUGCUUUUUGUUGAAAUUUCUGCAUUUGUAUAUCAACUUAUUCACUUAGCUAUGCAAUUUUCUUUAAUGACAAACAAGUUACUAAAGUUUAAUGACAAACAAUAUAUCUAUUUCUAUUUUUACGAAUAUAUUUGUUACUCUUUCUAUUAAGAACUUGAAGGUGUUUUGAAUAAUGAGCUAUGUUUACUAACCACUUCAACAAUAUUGUGUAAAUUACUGAAUCAGUAAUGAAACUUCCCAAAAUUUAGAAUGUAAAAGCUGGUUGGAUCAACUCCAUGAAAAGCUAAAAAAUCAAGGAAUUAGUUUACGAGAGAGGUUAUUUAAUGAUUUCUUUUCGUGAAUGCAUAAAUGAUAUUCUUUUAUAGGAAGAAAAUGCACCGCAUCACAAUUUUUCCCUUUUAAAUGGUCUUACUGAAAAAAGAAAUUGGUCAAUCAAUUUACAAUCAUUCAUGCAUUCAAAUUCCAGCACCCCUAUUUUGAAAUGAGUUUUAAAAUUCUUUCAUUACUAUAGUUAAUAGUUCAUCAGCAGGUUGCUUGCUUCUCUACUUUUAUUCAUUGUGACUUUAAUAAAUAAGUACAAUAUGUGGAGAAUCUAAUAAUUGAUGAUGAACUUUAGUGUUUCUUCAUCUUUUUCAAAUUUCAGCAUUCUCUGAGAGUUUCAAUUGUAAAUUUUUAAAGGUGGCAUCCAACUUUGCUUUUUGAGGAUUUAUUUGAGCUUUUGGCAUAUACAUAUUCAUUUUUGAAUUGCUUGGUAUUUUUUCUUGUAGCAAACCAUGGCAUAGUAGUAUUUAUACAGAAUCAACGAUGAAGAUCUCUAUAGAUCUUAUACAGCUACAAAUGGUGACUUUCUAGUUUUGCUAUCAUCAAUUAAAAAAACAAUCAGAUGGAGGGAGAAAUAUAGAAUUCUUUCUUAAAAAGAGCUUGAAACAUAAGCACACAUGGUAUUUUAAUAUGGAUAUGAUGUCAUGCGUUGACCUUGCCUUAUAAUAUGGCUUGGGCUAGCAUGGUCAAGCUUGCCAUCUUAUGAUAGACCCUGUUUUGAUAAGGUAGUUGGUAUGUCUUUAGCCCUCGGUAAUACUGUUUAGCUUUUCAUUUUGCUACCAUUUGGAAUUUAAUGAAACUUUCUCUGUUAUUCAUUUUAAAUUUUUAGUUCCUUUGUUUAAUAUGAGUUGGAACUAGAGUUUCUGGCACAAGUUUCUUUUAUAGAAUUCUUUUCUAUCCAAAAUAGCCAGCUAGAGUAUCCAACACAGACAUCAAUGAAAUCUUCUGAUUAUCAGUGUCUUUGUCCCGUACCACUUACUCAAAAUAGUUAAGUUAUUUGUCCAAAACUAGAUUACCACCUCCAUUUAAUGUCAUUGUGUGUUAUUCACAUUUUGAAAGACAUAGGUAUAAUUUGUUGUUAACUAAGUUUUUAUGUUUGUGCUAUAUUCUAUUUGUUUUGUGUGUGUGUGUGUGUUUGUGGCUUUUUAAUUAGUAGUUUCUAUAAUGUGCAACAGAAGGAUGAUCGUAAAAUUCUGAAACGUUGGUAUUGGAGCUGUGUGCUAAUGGAUGAGGGCCAUGCUUUAAAGGACAAGAAUAGCUUUAUGAGAAAAAAAAUCUAAUGUCAGUUGCUCGAAAUACAAACCAGCGUCUUACGGUAACAGACACACCACUGCAAAAUGAUUUAUCGAUACUAUUACCUUUUUCUCCAUCCUAAAAUAAUUCUAGAAUUGGAAACAAUUUAAGUAAAUAAUGGUUGCUGAACACUGUGGUAUUACGUUGCAAUUUGUGAAUCAUAUAGUUCACAGUUACUGGGGAAAAUUUAAGUUUUAUGUCGAAGCAUGAAAAGUUAUCAAUUAAACACCAGUCUUAAUGAACUCUAUUUUGUCAGAGAUAAAUAGAUUUUAGUAAAGGAAAAAAGAAAAGAUUCUUAUAAAUGCAAAGUGUGCAUUAUGACAAAUGUAUUUCAACUUAAUGGAUCAUGCAUUAAAUUUUUAAUUUAGAUAAAAAAAAAAGUCUUUUGUACCUUAAUCUUUCAUAUAUUCUUUCUGUUGUUAAUUGAAUCUCAAUUUUUGUAAAAAAAUGCAUGUCUUGUUACCAUAAAAGCUUUUGGUAAGUUUUUUUUUGUCACAAUAAAUAAAAUGCUAGUGGUAUCAAAAGCAUUAGAAGAUAUUUUUGUUGAAUAUGCUUCUAAGUUUUCUACAUGUUAUAUUAUUGUUGUUGAGUGGAUUGAUGAUACCUAAGCUUUUUGCCACUGAGGAUGUAGACUUGAAGAAGCAACUAAAUGCAGAAGAUAGAUAGUUAAUUGAUCGUAUGAAGUCUAUAUUAGAAUAUGUUGUCAAUAAUUGUAUAUUUAGUUAUGUGUAAAUAUGCUUGUACUCUUUUAUGAUAUAAAUAUACAUGCUAUAACCCUAAAUGGAAUAGAGUACAAUAUUUGUUCUUUACAAAUUCAUUUUAUGGUAUCAAAGCAGUGGCUUUCCCUAUUUCCUCAUCUUCAAUUCUAAUCAAAAUAUUUAUCUUCUUCUCGUAUCUAAAAACAAUUACUUUAUAUAAUUCUACUCCAAUAACUUUUUUUAUAAUAUAUUAUUUCUUAAACCUUCUAAUAACUUUUAACAAUCAAUCUUCUUUCAUACUAUCUUUUUCCUUCCCUAAUAUUUCUAGCCUUAUCUCUAUUAAGUUGAACUUAAAAAAUUAUUUGCUUUCUGCAUGAUCAGAUAGCACCUUUUUAUUAUGUAGUGAUUUAAUGGGGCUUGUUGAUUGCACCAAUGCACCUUCUCUUAAAAUAAUAAUCAAAGGUAAUGAAACCACAUCUAAUCUUGCAUAUAUAGAGUGGGUAAAGAAAGAUCAAUUUGUUCUCUCCUGUCUGAAGGUAACAUUGUCGCCAAGUGCACAAGCACAGAUUCUGGGUUUGUCAUCUUCUUACCAAGUUUGGAUAACUCUAGAAAUUGUUUUUCAUCAAUAAUAUCAAGCAAAGUUAGAUUUGUUACGUGAUGAGUUAUAGAGUUUGUAAUAAAAGAAAUAUGUCUGUUAAAAAAUAUCUUACCAUGAUCAAAUCUAUUUAUGAUAAUUUAGCAACCAUAAAUCAUCUUAUCGCUAAUUCAGAAUUGAUCACUCGUACUUUGAAUGUAUUAUCAAAUACCAUUGAAUAUCAACCAAUUGUCUUUGCUAUUGAAAAUAAAGAGAAUCCCAUUUCUUUUAAUGAUUUGCAAGCACGGAUAUUAGUUCAUGAGCAGUGCUUGAAAAGAAUGUUGGUAUUAUCAUCAUAACCUAUGAAUGCCAUUGUUAAUUCUCAUAAGACAACCAUGGUAACUAAUCCAAAUAGUCGAGGUCAAUUUUUCAAUAAUCUUUGCCGUGAUUUUAGGCGUACUAGACAUAUUAAUCAAAGGUAUGAUCAUUGUAAUUCUCAAUCAUUUCCUCUCAAAAAUCAUAUGCCUCAACAAGACUUCUAAUCAAAUAACCAAGAUAAUAGGAACUUUUCACAUUCUCAACAUGCAAAUCGUGCCACAAAGUGUCAGAUUUGUCACCCAUUCAAUCAUACUACUGUAACAUAUCAAUACUACUACAAUAAAUUUGAUCGUAGUCUGAGAAAUUUUUUUACUGGUCUUAAUCUUUCUACUACUACUUCAAAUGAUACUCCAUUUAAUGCUCCAAUAGACAAUGACAAUAAUGCCUACUAGCUGGCAAAUUCAAGUACUACCUAUCAUAUAACUUCUAAUCCAUCGUUGGUAUACCAUGCACUCCUUAUGUUGGUAAUGAAAGUACUUUUAUUGGUGAUGAUAAUUCUUUAAACAUCACUCAUAUUGGUGAUAUUGGUGAUUCUGCUAUAUGUCUUGGUUUUGCAAAAUUGGCAUUGAAAAAUAUUUUAUUUGUUCCAGCAUUAAAGGAAAAUUUAUUAUCUAUUGCUGAGCUAACUAGAGAUAAUAAUUAUGGUUUCUAUUGUUUCCUUGGGGUUUUAUUAUUAAGGAUCUUCGUGCAAAAAAGCUACUUCUGGAUGAACCAGUUAAAGGAAACCUUUAUGUGAUUCCUACAAGAGAUGUGGAGCGAUUCAUUAGUGUGAGGCAAUGCGAUCAACAAGCUUUAUUCAAUGGCAGUUCUUCUUCAGUUUUUAAAAUAAUUUGACAUCGACGAAUUCAACAUCCAGCUAGUAAGAUUAUAACACAAUUAAAAUAUAAUAAGUUUAUUACUUCUAAAGAUUUUUCCUUUUGUAACUUAACUUGUACAAUUUAUUAAGCAGGAAAAAGUAAACAUUUGUCUUCUAGUUUAUCUACUAGGAUAACAUCUAAUGUUCUUGAAUUAAUUCAUUGUGAUAUUAUCGCCCACUGCUACUGUUAUUAGUUUUUGCUAUUAUAUUAUUUUUGUGGAUGAUUUCAGUCGUUAUACUUGAUUUUAUCCAUUGAAGCGUCGUUUUGAUAAUAUUACUUGUUUUGAGAAUUUUAAAACUAUGGUUAAAAAUCAAUUUGGCAAUAAGAUUAAAUUUUUUUAGCGUGAUAGAGUUAAAAAGCUUGUUAAAGGUGAUUUUAAAAAUCUUCUUAAUCACCAUGGUAUUUCUCUUCAAAUUUUUUGUCCACAUAUCCAUAAUAGAAUGGUUUAGUAGAACAAAAACAUAGACAUAUUGAGGAAAUGGGCUUGACUCUGUUGUUUGAAGCUUCUUUACUACAAUCUCUUUGGCUUGAGGUAUUUUUUACAUUUAUUUAUCUUAUCGAUCGGCUUCUUAUAUCAAUUUUGGAUAAUUGUUCUCCUUUUGAAGUGUUAUUUAACUCUUUGCCAGAUGACAAUCAUUUAAGAGUUUUUUGAUGUACUUGUUAUCCUCAUUUAAUUCUUUAUCAAAAAUAUAAGCUUUCUCCAAAAUUCACUCAUUGUGUCUUUUUGGGGUAUAUUCCAAUCCACAAUGGAUAUCGUUGUUUAAACCUCUCUAUUGGUUAGAUUUAUACCUCAUGGCAUGUUUCUUUUUAUGGAAAUUGCUUUCCUUUUGUAGAACGUUCUAAUUCUACAGCUUUUGAGAUUCUUUCUCAUCCCAAUGACUCUUUUACAUUUCCUGAGGUUAGUUCUGACAUAUCUCUACUCAUUCCUCUGACUACAAUUGUGUCAGAACCAGUACCAAAUGCUUUAAUCCCAAAUAUAACUAUUUUUGAACUUAAUAUAAUUGUGUUGGCACCCUCUGCUCAACCAUCAUUUGAGCCUUCCAUUUCUUUUGGUUCUAGAACUAUACAUCCAUGGUUACAUGAAGUCGAGAUGGUACUUAAAGGCCUAAAGUACCAUAGUUUUUACAUGCUACAAAUUAUCCAUCUCUUGAACCAAGAUCAUUCAAAAAAAGCAUGUCAAGAUGAAAAAUGGGUUUUAGCUAUGAAUGAUGAAUAUUUUGUUUUAAUGCAAAAUAAUUCUUGAUCUUUAGUUCCUCGUAAUUUAUCCAUGAAUGUUGUUGGUUGUCAUUGGAUUUAUAAAAUCAAAGAACGAGCUGAUGGUACCAUUGAAUGGUAUAAAACAAGAUUAGUGGCUGUCAUAAUGUCUAGAUCCGGGGAUCUAUCGCUAGAUAUUGACUUAAGGGAGUUGCCACCAAUCUUUUUUAUCUAGGUGCGAUUGGCCACCUAAAGAAUUUGUCCUUUCAAGGAACACCUAAGUUUAAGGGUCCCUAAAAGAAUAGGUUCAGAUUUACUAACCAGAACAGGGUUCGAGAGUUCGGUUAUGUGUGAAGAAGGUUAUAGCACCCUUACAACACCCAUCAAAAGAUGGUACCAGCUUAAACUUGUGUUAUCCAAUGAGCCUUAAAAUUUUACUAAGUAAUUAAUUAUUGAAAAUUAUUCUCAAUUGACUCUAAUACUUUUAGCAGAAAAUUAAAAAAAUUCCCUCACCUCAGGAGUAUGCAAGAAAACUACUGUCUCACUUGCAGAGGCUCCAUCGUCGGAUUAUUUAACAUUAAAAAAAAUAAAAAUGAAGAAAAGAAUGAUUGUUUUUGUGCAGGGAAAAAUUGAUACUCUCAACUUUUCCCCAAAAUAUUUUUUAAAAAUUUUAAUCUCGAGGAAAAUUGAUACUUUCAACUUUUUCCCAAAAAUUCAUUUUUGAAAACUUAUUUUUAAGAAAAAUUGAUACUUUCAAUUUUUCCCCCAAAAAUAUUUUUGUUUUUAAAAACUUUAAUUUCGAGGAAAAUUGAUACUUUCAACUUUUCCUCAAAAAUCCCUUUGAAAAUUUAUCUUUAAGAAAAAUUGAUACUUUCAACUUUGUCCCAAAAAUAUUUUUUUGAAAACUUUAAUUUCGAGAAAAAUUAAUACUUUCAACUUUUUCCUAAAAAUAUUUUUUUGAAAACUUUAAUUUCGAGGAAAAUUGAUACUUUCAACUUUUUUCCAAAAAUAUUUUUUGGAAACUUUAAUUUCGAAGAAAAUUGAUACUUUCAACUUUUCCUCAAAAAAAAAAACUUUUUUUUAAAAUUUAUUUUUAAGAAAAAUUAAUACUUUCAACUUUUUUUCAAAAAUAUUUUUUGGAAAGCUUAUUUUUAAGGAAAAUUGAUACUUUCAACUUUUCCUCAAAAAUAUUUUUUUUGAAUUUUAUUUAAAAGAAAUAAAAAAUAAAAAUGAAAAUAAAAAAAAUGAAAUUUAAACCAGUAGCAAAUGCUGGAAUUGUUAUCGGAGCUCUACCAGUACCAAAAAUGAAUGGCAAAGUUGAAAAUGAAGGAGUGAUAGAUAAGCUAAAAAAAAUGGAUCGGUUCCGAAUGUAGGAGUUACAGAUGAACUAAAUACCGAAGUUGUUGACGAAGUUGGACCAAAAAGGCUUGAUGAUGUUGAUUGAAAAGGAUUUGAUAUAGUAGUCGAGGUUGUACAACUUGUACUAUUAAAGGAUGGCGAUUUUAGGCUAAAUGGAGUGAUACUUGUGUUGCUGGAAAGUGGAUUUACAGACGUUUGACUAAACGUUAAAGAAGAGUCAAAAGGACUAAUAGGCGCAGUUGACACAGCAAAGCCAGUCUCUCUAGAAGGUUAAGCAGCUACCUGUGGUCCACCUUUAUCCUCUAAUUGAUAAUCCUCCCAUCACAGCUCCUUAUGACUUUUAUCUUUGUAAACAGGCAUCACUGAUAUUGACUCCAGCUUUACAGCUAGCUGUGCACUACUCCCACUAUCUGUUUCGGUUGUAGGUGUGUAAGGAGCUACUCUACUUCCCCCAUGUUGGCCCUCAAAUGGUGAUUAGUCAAAGCUAGUAUUUUCAGAUGCUAGUACAGAAGAUUGGGUUCCCAAAAGGAGAACUCGGGGCUACAAAUGUGGUGGUUCCAAAAGGAGAACUACCGAAUGUUUGCGUUGAUUAGCUGAAAGCUAGGCUAGACCCAAAACUGAAUGAAGAAGUAGAAAAUGCUCCAAAAUGAGGAGUAUUUGAAGCUCCAAAAGCAGGAGGGAUGGAACCCUGAAAUGCAGAACUAGAAGAACCGAAAACAAGAGUUCCUAAAAUGCCAAAAGCAGGUAUGCUUGAUGCUCCAAAUGUGCCCCCUUGUUCCAAACACUUGGGCAUUAAACACACCGAAUGCAAUUUCAGUGCUCCUAAAUGCUGAACUUCCAGAUGAACCAAAGGUAAUGGUACCAAAGGCAGGGAUGCUUGUGGAACUAAAGGCAGGAGUGCUCGUGGCACCAAAAGCAGAAGUACUGGAACUAAAUGUAGAUCAACUUGAACCAAAAGGUGUGGAGGAACCAAAUAUACCACUACUAAAUACAAGGCUGUGAUUGCUGUGUUGUGUUGGUUGGUUUGUAUUGCUUGAUGAAAGAAGUGCCUCAUUUUUAUUCUUUUUUUCUGGUGCACGAAGGGAAAGGCUGAAUCUUUUUCUUGGUUAAAGAUCCUCAAUACAAUCGAGUCUUUGACUGAGAUCAACCAAUUGCCAGAUUCAAAUGGAACCAAGGUCUAUCCAGACUAGAUAAUUAGCCUCUUCAUCUAACCCUUAAAAGUAAGAUUUUUUGAUCGAAUGAAGGAAGAUAGCAAUCACCCAGACUAUACCGCUUCAAGCAGCAUCUUAGCGAGCAGGUUACCGACUUUCAUAAAACAGCUCACGUCUUCUCGAUACUACUCUAAGCAGUCCCCUUGCUAAUAGAAGACUGAACCCUUUUGACUUUACCUUUUUCCUCUCCUAUUUGGAUUCUUCCUCUAUCUUUUCUCCUCCUUUCAACUUGUAUAUUCAUUGUUGAUAUAUAGACCCAUGCUGAUAGAGUUUUAAUUCAAUUCCAAUUAGUCAUCCAAUGCUAAAGAUUAGCAUCUAGAUAACAAUCAUCACAAUCACCAAGCUUAAUUUCAAUCUUUCAGCUUUUUUUUCCUUUUUUUUAAUUAAUCAGAUAAUCAAAAGAAAGAAAAAGAAAAUAAAUCAUAAAAUAAAAAUAAAAAUGAUAAAUAUGAAAUAAAAAAACCUAAAAUAAAAAUGAAUAAAAAUCCCUGCAACUAAGCUAGGAUUAGUCUCAAUUGACAAAGGAUCUCGGAUAAAAUGGGGUGUCUACAACUGCCCCUCUUUGCAUAUUUUUUGUGAAACAAAAAUUGUGUAAAGACGUAGACACCCAUUAAGACUCAACUGAAUUUUUUUUGCCUAUUUUGUUUUGCUAUUUUUUUUUUUUUAAAUUCGAUCAAAGCUCCUCUAAGUAGAUGCUCAAUGACUUUGAGAAACAUAAACAAAGCUCCUCUAAACAGAGGUAAUUUUUUUGUUUUUUUUUUUUUUUUUAAAUUUGAUCAAAGCUCCUCUAAGCAGAGGCUCAACGAUUUCAAAAAGUAAAUAGCUCAUCCAAACAGAGGCACCACGACUUUUGAAAAAUAAAUUGCUCAUCUAAACAGAGUCACCACGACUUUGAAAGUAAAUUGCUCAUCUAAACAGAGGCACCACGACUUUUGGAAAGUAAAUUGCUCCUCUAAACAGAGGCACCACGACUUUGGAAAGUAAAUUGCUCCUUUAAACAGAGGCACCAUGACUUUGUAAAGUAAAUUGCUCUUCUAAAUAGAGGCAUCAUGACUUUGGAAAAUAAAUUGCUCCUCUAAACAGAGGCACCAUGACUUUGGAAAGUAAAUUGCUCCUCUAAACAGAGGCACCACGACUUUGGAAAGUAAAUUGCUCCUCUAAACAGAGGCACCAUGACUUUGGAAAAUAAAUUACUCAUUGACAAUCAUGUCCAAAGGAGUUAUAGAUCGUGAUCGAAGAAAUUUUGUAAUGGGAACUCAAAGAUUCACAAUUUGAGUUCAACAUUCACAGGUUCAGAUUCGCAAGAACAUUCCAACUUUGUAAGAAUUUAUUGAAAUUUAAUUCUUAAGAUUUCAGUUUCGUUCAAAUUUGUAAGAUCUCAAGAUUUGCAUUUGUAACUUGUAAGACUCGCAUCAAAGAUCUUUAUUUGAAUUUUGGAAGUUCAUAUCCAAAAGUUCAAGGCUUUUUAAAGGUUCGCAUUUGGCAAGCUUAGGAUUCACAUCCAAAAAUUCAAAGCUUCUCAUUUGAGUUCAAAGGCUCAGCAAUAAAACAAAGGUUCUCAUAAAAAAAAUUUAGAGAUUCAUAUCCAAAAAAGAAGAUUCACAUCCAAAAGUUUAAAAUUUUUCAUUUGUUCGAAGAUUCACAUUUGAUGAACUUUAGGGUUUCACUCCUCAAAGAUUCUCAUUUUGAAACUCAAAGAUUUUCAUUUGAGUUCUCAAAAAUUUCUAUCAAAAUAUUCACAAUUUCUUUUUCAAGUAACUCAAAAUUUUGCAUGAAUGAACGUUAUGACCAAAGAUGCAAAUGCUUUCUUAAUGAUGCAAAUGUGGCAACCUAUAUUCUCAUAGUGCCAUGCAUGUCCAAACAAAGUUUAAUUCAUCAAAUUAUGUGUAUGUACUAUUCAAGCAAUGAUGCCACUAUGAUGCAUGUAAUACGAAUGUCAAUAAUAUCAUGAAAUCCUAAAUAAUUGUGGAAUAUGGUCCUCAAGACCCUACCAUCUCACGUUCUCCCUUGUUCAGUUUCUCAAUACUUUGGAAUAAGCUUCAUCAAUCGAUCAUCACUUGACUAUCAUUCAAUGAACUUUUCAGCACUAACAAAUUUCAAAACAUCCACCAUCACUGGGUCAUUACUCAUAAGUGUCUCAGCAUUAACCAUUCCAAAACAAACUUUGUUCACUGAUUGUUUUUAUCAUUCAAUCAUAACUUGCAAGUCAUAUCGACCAAUUCAUCCUUGUACUCAUCACUUGGUUAUACCAUUUUUCAAGAUUUAUCCCAUCAUAUUCUCCAUUUGGUCACAUCAUAUAUCUUUCCAAAUCAUCUCUUUUAGGUUUCUACCAUUUCUUUAUUUUGUUACCACCAUCAUCUUAGAUUUUUUUUUAAAAUAAAUGCAAGACUCUUUUAAGCACAUAUUCAUUCAUUCAUUAUCAUUUCAAAUCUUGACAAAUACAAUGCAAUCAAACAUUUUCUCAAUUCAUUCUAGGGGUGUAACAAUAAGAGAACACAAGGUGAAUUAUGGUAAAGAUAAUCAAUGAAGAUCUAUUUUGGUACAAAACAAAUGGGAAAGGAAAUAAAUUGGAUACAUGUCAUUGGGAUGAAUGGUAUGUCCAAAUGAUGAAUAUUUAGACAAUUUUUAAUAUUAAUCUAGGAUUCUUUUUCAAAAACUCAUUUCAUUUACUGUUGAAGCCAUCUUGAGCUUGGCGAACUUUGUCUCAGUCUUGGAGGGAUUUUCAGAUGUCUUUGAUCUUUCAUCCAUGUGAACCAUUUGACCUGGACUUUUUUCUACCAAAAUCACCCUUUCAGGUUUUCAAUUUGAAUCUUUUUUUUUUCUUUUUUCUUUCUUUUUUAUCAUCUUUUUUUUUUUUCUUUUUUCAUCCAUUGUUGAUAUCUUUCAUACAUCCAACUUUAGAGUAAUGUAGCAUGAUUCCAUUGUUUCAUCAUGAGCAUGCCUUCACUCAACAUAUGAUCAUUCAAGUUAAGCAUUCAUACUUGAUCCAAAUGGGCUUUUCAAGGUUGUAAUGUAGGUCAAGGUGAGGGUCAUAAAAAAAUGGAUAUAAUAGGCUCAAAACAUGUAUUAAAAAGGUUCAAAACCAAAGGAUCAUUUGACAACUUGGCAUUUUGCCCCCACAUCAUUUCACUAUUUUUCUUUCUCACACAAAGGAUUCUCAUUACUUUGCCCAAAUCAUGUGUGAUUUUUUCUUUUCUUUUUUUUUCUUUCUUUGAGACCUUUUGUGAUUUUUUUUCAAAAAUUCCCUCCAGUGUAGAGGGUGAUCCUUGGUUGGGGUUCUUUAGAAAAAGAAAUCAUAAUAGGCUCAAAGGGGUAGCAAUAAAUGGUUUUUCGAAUGGUAAAAGAAAGAUGGCCAUUUUUCAUCUCAAUUGUGAAUACCUUUCUUGAACAUCAUCUAUUGAACAAAGCUCAUGAAUCUGUAUAAAAGAUUACACAUCUUCAAGACAUAUCUAUUUCACCUCUGAUAACAGCUUACUUUUUUUGCUCAAAUGAUCUCUCAUAUUAAUGUGGAUGAGUUUCAAAAUUAAAUCCAGAAUUAUUGUUAUCAUUGUCUAAAUAUUCAUCAUCAUGAAAUUUGAGAAUGGAAUGUAAAGUUAUGAAAGGUAACAGAGCAUGGAAUAAUGGUCGAGUGAAAGAAAAAAUGUAAUGAAAUGCAUUAACUUGCCUUUAUUAAGAUGAUAACAAGUGAAAUCAUAUACUCAAAAAAAAAUCCUAAAAUGACAAAAGAAACCUUCAACCAGCCUUAUCUCCAUUCUUUAAAAUUGUCCCCUAUACGAUCAGGUGAAGAAUCUCUAUUGACAUCUUGCCCCUCAAUUCAUUGUGACUCUCCGGACCCUUUCUGUUCUUGACUUUCACUCAGAACGCUAACAUUAGGUGUUGUUGCUUUUCCUUGAUCAAAACUUACCAUUCCAUCAUUGAUCAAUUGUUGCACCUUAUGCUUUAAAGCAGUGCAAUUUUUAGUAGAAUGGCCAGUAAUUCCAUAGUGGUAGUCGCAGUGGGCUGUAGGAUCAUACCACUUUGGAUAGGGUGGUUUAAGCGGCUCCACAUGGCUGGGGCAAUCAAAUGGCUAUUAUAGAGUUCUCGAUAUAACUCUGUAUAAGUCAUAGGGAUUGGAUCAAAUACAGGUUUUUCUCGAGUAGUCGUUGUUCUCUGAACCACUUGCUGGGUUAAUAGGGCGAAUUUGGUUCUUGCAGGAGCUUGAAUGUUAAGGCUAUAUGUAAGAUCUUGAGGGCUAAAAAUUGAUCGGUAUGUGGAUGAAUAAGGUGGUUGUGGAGCUAGCUGGUAUGGGUAGGAUGAGGCAUUAUUCACAGCAGGAUAGUAUGAGAGUAACCUUGGAUAUUGAUUUUGUCUAUCAAAGCUCACAGCUUGAGCUUGAGCUUCUUUUUUUCUGAUGUCUUCUUGGUUUCUCCUCCUUUCAACUUGCCAUUUUUUAUGGCACUUUCAAUAAUUUCUCCAGAGAUCACCAUGUCGGAAAUUCUUUGUUGCAUUCCUAUCAUCUUUUCAUAAUAGGAGACUUCAAAGUGCUGACAAACAACACUGUAGUUUUUUCUCAGUCAAGGAGGUUGUACUUGAAAGCAACAUCUCUCCACCUCUGGGCAUACUCUUUAAAAGACUCGUUUGCCUUUUUCUCCAGAUUCUGUAAAGACAAACGAUCAGGGGCCAAAUCGAUAAUAUGUCGAUAUUGACUAUGAAGUCAUGUGCCAUAUCGCUCCAAGAGUGAAUGCGGUUCUGUCCAGCUGAACAUACCACCUGGCGCUGAGCCAGUAAGGCUAUCCUGAAAGACAUGCAUCAAGAGUUUUUCAUCAUGAGCAUGAGCUCCAUUUUCGAAUACAUGUGAUGUGAGUUUUGGGGCACUUUGUACCAUCAUAUUUUUAAAUUUUGGUACUUUGAACUUAUGAGGAAUACCACAUCAGGGACUAGGCAGAGCCCAGCAGCAUCAACUGACCCAUAAAAGCUAAAUCCUUCCACAGCCCGUAGCCUUUGCUCUAGCAUACUAAUCUUGGAGCUUUCCUGAGUUCCACUCUUAUCUUUUCUUUCUCUUUCUUUUAAAUCAUCUAGAUCAGAAUUGGUUCUGCUUUUUAAAGAAGAUUUACAUAGCUAUUAUACUGCCCUGGGUUAAGCUGAUGGCAUUCCAGGAUAUGUUGGAUAUGUGAAGUGUUACGGUGGAACCUCUUGAGCAAACUGGGCUUGAGGUGGGCCAAAACCUGGAGGAUAUAAAGGGUCAGCCACUUCUUGCAAUGGGGAAACUUGUUGGCUUGCAUUUUUUUCGACUCCCUUUUUUUUAUUCAGGUUAUUAAGAGCAUCCAGAAUCUUACUCAACUCACUUUCAAUCUUCUCAUGUGCUUUUUCUAUCUUUUCAAAUCUGUGAGAAUUCUCUUGCUCCAUUUGCCUUGUUCUGGAUCUUGUGUUAUAUCGAUGGGCAGGGUUCUCGCUAGAUGGAGCUAUCUUUGAACCUUUAGCACCAUAAUUAUGAUUAGAAAUGUUAUGCUAUGCUUUAUGUAUGAUGCUUUGAUGCAUGAAUGAAAUGUACAUUUUCUUGAAUGAAAUCUAAUAUGAAAUGGAUGCAAAUGAUUAUGUUAAAACAUGAUCAUGAAAGUAAUGCAGAUGCAUACAAUCAGACAAACAACAUAGUUAGUUUCCAUGGAUGAAAUGAAAAUGAUGCUGAUGCAUAAUGUUACAUAUGAUAAUGAAAAUGAUGCACAAAGUUAAACAAUCAAAAUGAUUAGAUAAACACCCUUUUUAUGUCUUAAUUUCAGGGUAUGUCUAUCAUUGGGUAGAAAGGGCUCUAUCCUAGGUUUAGGCACUCUUAAGGUUCACUAUAUGUGGUUUAAGGUCAAAGUCUAAAAGUUCUCAAAUUGCUCCUUACAUCUUUGUCCAUCACAGACUAGUAAGGCACCCUAAUCCUCACCCAUUACAAGCUACAAAUGAAAAAGGUUCAAUUUAAGUGGGAGUAUUUCAUUAGCCAUUGCGGAGGCAUUAGACCUCACGAAAGCAAUAGGUACUUUACUCCCUCAUAGAGAGAUGGAGCUUGGGUAUAAAGCUCAUGUUAUGCAUAUGCACAUGCACAUGAAUGACGUAAUUAACAAAGUAAAUAAAUAUGAAUGAAUAAUAACACAUAUAUACAAAAAGGUUCAAUUUUAUUAGGCUUUUGGAUAACACAAAUUAUUUGCUGGCCUGACUCUCAAAGUCUUCAGUGGAGUCGCCAAGCUGUCAUAACGUCUAGAUCUGGGGAUCUAUUGCUAGACAUUGACUUAAGGGAGUCACCACCAAUCUUUUUAUCUAGGUGCGAUUGGCCACCUAAAGAAUCUGUCCUUUCAGAGAACACCUAAGUUUAAGGGUCCCUAAAAGAAUAUGUUCAGGUCUAAUAACCAGAACAGAGUUUGGGAGUUCGAUUACGUGUGAGGAAGGUUAUAGCACCCUCACAAUGCCCAUCAAAAGAUGGUACCAGCUUAAACUUGUGUUAUCUAAUGAGCUUUAAAAUUUUACCAAGUAAUUAAUUAUUGAAAAUUAUUCUCAAUUGACUCUAAUACUUUUAGCAGAAAUUUGAGAAAAUUUCUUCACCUCAGGAGUAUGCAAGAAAACUACUGUCUCACUUGCAGAAGCUCCAUCGUCGAAUUAUUUAACAUUAAAAAAAAUAAAAAUGAAGAAAAGAAUGAUUGUUUUUGUGCAGAAAAAAUUGAUACUCUCAACUUUUCCCCAAAAUAUUUUUAAAAAAUUUUAAUCUCGAGGAAAAUUGAUACUUUUAACUUUUUCUCAAAAAUUCAUUUUUGAAAACUUAUUUUUAAGGAAAAUUGAUACUUACAACUUUUCCCCCAAAAAUAUUUUUGUUUUUAAAAACUUUAAUUUCGAGAGAAAUUGAUACUUUCAACUUUUCCUCAAAAAUCCCUUUGAAAAUUUAUCUUUAAGGAAAAUUGAUACUUUCAACUUUUUUCCAAAAAUAUUUUUUUGAAAACUUUAAUUUCGAGGAAAAUUGAUACUUUCAACUUUUUCUCAAAAAUUUUUUUUUGAAAAUUUAUUUUUAAGGAAAAUUGAUACUUUCAACUUUUCCCCAAAAAUAUUUUUUGGAAACUUUAAAUUCGAAGAAAAUUGAUACUUUCAACUUUUCCUAAAAAAAAAACGUUUUUUAAAAAUUUAUUUUUAAAAAAAUUAAUACUUACAACUUUUCUCCAAAAAUAUUUUUUGAAAAGCUUAUUUUUAAGGAAAAUUGAUACUUUCAACUUUUCCUCAAAAAUAUUUUUUUUGAAUUUUAUUUAAAGGAAAUAAAAAAUAAAAAAGAAAAUGAAAUUUAAACCAGUAGCAAAUGCUGGAAUUGUUAUCGAAGCUCCACCAGUACCAAAAAUCGAUGGCAAAGUUAAAAAUGAAGGAGUGACAGAUGAGCUAAAAAGAAAUGGAUUGAUUCCAAAUGUAGGAGUUGCAGAUGAACUAAAUACUGAAGUUGUUGAUGAAGUUAGGCCAAAAAGGCUUGAUGAUGUUGAUUGAAAAGAUUUGAUGUAGUAGUCGAGGUUGUACAACCUGUACUAUUAAAAGAUGACAGUUUUAGGCUAAAUGGAGUGAUACUUGUGCUGUUGGAAAAUGGAUUUACAGACGUUUGACUGAAUGUUGAAAAAGAGUCAAAAGGACUAGUAGGCGCAGUUGACACAGCAAAGCCAGCCUUUUCAGAAGGUUGAGCAACUACCUGUGGUCCACCUUUAUCCUCUAAUUGAUAAUCCUCCCAUCGCAGCUCCUCAUGACUUUUAUCUUUGUAAACAGGCAUUGCUGAUAUUGACCCCAGCUUUGCAGCUGGCUGUGCACUACUCCCACUAUCUACUUCGGUUGUAAGUGUGUAAGGAGCCACUCUACUUCCCUCACGUUGGCCCUCAAAUGGUGAUUAGUCAAAGCUAGUAUUUCUAGAUGUUGGUACAGAAGAUUGGGUUCCCAAAAAGAGAACUCGGGGCUACAAAUGUGGUGGUUCCAAAAAGAGAACUAUCGAAUGUUGGCGUUAAUUGGUCGAAAGCUAGGCUAGACCCAAAGCUGAAUGAAGGAGUAGAAGAUGCUCCAAAAGGAAGAGUGUUUGAAGCUUCAAAAAUAUGAGGGAUGGAACCCCCAAAUGCAGAACUAGAAGAACCGAAAACAAGAGUGCCUAAAAUGCCAAAAGCAGGUGUGCUUGAUGCUCCAAAUGUGCCCCCCUAUUCCAAACACCUGGGCAUUAAACACACCGAAUGCAAUUUCAGUGCUCUCAAAUGCUGGACUUCCAGAUGAGCCAAAGCCAAGGGUACCAAAGGCAGUGAUGCUUGUGGAACUAAAGGCAGGAGUGCUCGUGGCACCAAAAGCAAAAGUAUUGGAACUAAAUGCAAAGCAACUUGAACUAAAAGGUGUGGAGGAACUAAAUAUACCACUACUAAAUGCAGGCUGUGAUUGCUGUGUUGUGUUGGUUGGUUUGUAUUGCUUGACAAAGAAAGUGCCUCAUUUUUAUUCUUUUCUUUGUGGUGCACGAAGGGAAAGGCUGAAUCUUUUUCUUGGUUAAAGAUCCUCAAUACAAUCGAGUCUUUGACUGAGAUCAACCAAUUGCCAAAUUCAAAUGGAACCAGGGUCCAUCCAGACUAGAUAAUCAGCCUCUUCAUCUGACCCUUGAAAGUAGGAUUCUUUGAUCAAAUAAAGAAAGAUAGCAAUCACCCAAACUGUACCGCUUCAAGCAGCAUCCUAGCAAGCAGGUUACCAGCUUUCAUAAAGCAGCUCACGCCUUCUCGAUACUACUCUAAGCAGUCCCCUUGCUAACAAAAGACUGAACCCUUUUUGACUCUACCUUUUUCCUCUCUUAUUUGGAUUCUUCUUCUAUCUUUUCUCCUCCUUUCAACUUGUAUAUUCAUUGUUGAUAUAUAGACCCAUGCUGAUAGAGUUUCAAUUCAAUUCCAAUUAGUCAUCCAAUGCUAAAGAUUAGCAUCUAGAUAACAAUCAUCACAAUCACCAAGCUUAAUUUCAAUCUUUCAGCUUUUUUUUUCUUUUUUUUUAAUUAAUCAGAUAAUCAAAAGAAAGAAAAAAAAUAAAUCAUAAAAUAAAAAUAAAAUGAUAAAUAUGAAAUAAAAAAAUCUAAAAUAAAAAUGAAUAAAAAUCCUUGCAACUGAGCUAGGAUUAGUCUCAAUUGACAAAAGAUCCCAGACAAAAUGGAGGGUCUACAGUGGUCAAAGGCUUUACAUAAUUAAAAGGUAUUGACCUUGACUCCACCUUUUUUAGCCCUGUUGUUAAGGCCACCACUAUUUGAAUUAUUCUUUCUAUUACUGUUAGUAGAAGAUGGUCCAUUAGGCAAUUAGAUGUCAAAAAUGCAUUUUCAUAUGGCUAGUUGCAUGAAAAAGUUAUGGUACAACCACUAGGGUUUGUGGACCCUAAUCAUCCCUAUCAUGUUUGUAAAUUAUAUCGCUCUCUUUAUGGUCUUCGCAAGCUCCAUGAGCUUGGUUUCAAAGAUUUAGUUUUGCUCUUUAUGCCUUUGGUUAGAUCUUUUUAUGUUUAUAUGGCAUUCAUUAUUUGACAUGAUGCUACUUUUACUUUAUGUUGAUGAUAUCAUUCUCAUUGGUUCUUUAGUAAAUGUUAUUCAUUCAUUCAUUUCACAGCUUUUUUUGCAAUUUUCAAUGAAAGAUCUCGUUGAUCUUCAUUAUUUUCUUGCAAUAAAGGCAUAUCGUACACCUAAGCAUUCGUUGCUGAUACAAACAAAAUAUGUGUUUUCUUUACUUUCAUGUUUAGGUAUGGAAAACUGCAAAUCUACUUCUAUUCUUGUAACUACUGGUAAGAAGCUUUUUCUAUAUGAUGGAACUUUACUUUCAGACCUAUAACAAUAUCUCACUAUUGUUGGAGCUUUACAAUAUCUUACCUUUAUUAGAUUUGACAUUACCUAUGCUGUGCAACAAGUCUAUCAAUUUAUGCAUGCGUCUCAUGAUAUUAACUUUUAGGCUGUGGAAUAAAUCUUGAGAUAUCUUAAAGAAACUAUCAAUUGUGGUAUUCAAUUAUUUCCUUGCACUACAUCGAAUCUGGUAUGAUAUAUUGAUGCUGAUUAGGCUGGUUGUCCAGACACUAGACAUUCUACAAUGGGUCAUUGUAUUUUCUUAUAUUCCAAUCCUGUUUCUUGGUGUACUAAAAAGCAAGUUUUUGUUGCUCAAUCUAGUACUGAAGCAAAGUAUAUGGCUCUUUCUAUAGCUUUUUGAGAUAUACUUUGGAUUUCUUAUAUAUUGAAUAAGGUUGGAUUUCCUCUUGCACUACCUUGUUCUAUACAUUCUGACAAUAUGUGUACUACUCAACUUACUACCAACCAAUCUUUCAUGCUCGCACAAAACAUAUAGAGACCUUUUAUCACUUUGUUCGAGACCUUGUUUGCAAGCAUUUUCUUCAAGUCCUUUUCAUAUGUUCUCAAUCACAACUAGCUGAUACAUUUACCAAGGGACUUUCUUUCUCAAAUUUUCUUCUAUUUUAAGAACAAGCUCUUGUGGAGUUCUCCCUAUUAGAAUAUGUUAUCAAUAGUUGUACAUUUAAUUAUAUGUAAAUAUGCUUGUACUAUCUCAUAAUAUAAAUAUACAUGCCGUAACCCUAAAUGAGAUAGGAUAGAACAUUUGUUCUUUACAAAUUCGUUUCAGUCCAUUUUGGGACCAUUCAUCUUGAGUCGCUUGAAAGCAGAUGUGAUGUAGCAACUCGUCCCAAAGAUACAACGGGUAUAUGCUUUCUUACUCUUAGGUUUUUAAUUAGAUAUUGAGUUUUGUUUUCUUAUAGUUUGUAGAUCUGUAUUUGCGAAGUUAUACUCAUGGAUUUAUUUGGUUUCAAUAUGUUUUUUAAAAAUAAAAAUCAAUUGUGAAAUCGUCGUGAAAUAGACUGCUAGGAAAUCACUGUGACAUCGUUGUGAGAGACUAAAAGAAUUUUUAAUAUGAAGAGUUUUUUGUUUUUUCAAUUUUCUUUGAGAUUCUUCAGAGCUUGGCUUCAACGAUUUAUUUAUUGUUCUAUUUGAUGAUACUCUGCUGCUAAGGGAAACCUUCAGCUUUUGAAGCAGAAAAGCUCCAUGUAGAAUGCAAAUCUUAUUGAAAGUGAAACGACUUUUAGUUGAUGUGUGGCGACAAUUUCGUUUUGGUUGCUUAGUUUUACAAGCAUUUGAUUGGUUAAGCAAUAUGAUGAUAAAAUGAAAGGAAAUUAAAAAAAAAUCAAAGCAGAUCAAUAAAAUUUUUGUGAGCAUUGUUUAUUCUCGUUGCUUACUUCUAACUUGAAAUAUUUUUAUGGAAUUUGCAGUGCAGUUGUUAAGUUAGUUAUUGAUUCAUUGUUUAUAACUCACAGUGUUCAAGGUUUGGUUUGUUGUUCUAAGAUACAAGAUGCUUCCAACUUAUUUUAGAUCUGGGCUUCAAACCUUACAUAAAUCAAUUGAAAUUUCAAAAAGAACACAUGAAAACAAACAAAAGUGAAUGAAAAUGUGAGCAUAGCCCAAUAAUCAAACUCGAAUGCUAGAAAGUACAAUAAAUCAAGCGCAGAAGUAAUCUGAAGAAGGUCCAAUUAUGCCUGGAUAUUCUCCCACUUGAGUGGCUUGACAACCUCCCAAGCGAAGUCUGGGUCAUCCCGGCCAAAAUGCCCAUAGGCAGCAGUCUUCAAAAACCUGCCAUUGCCCCCCCUCUUAAGAUCAAGAUUGAUAGCAAUCAUUCCAGGUCUGAAAUCAAAGUUCUCCUUCACAAUCUUCAGAAUUUUCCUAUCUGGUAUCUUUCCAGUACCAUAUGUGUCCACAAAUACAGAUAAAGGCUCAGGCACACCAAUGGCGUAGGAAACCUGCACAACACACCUCCUAGCAAGUCCAUCAGCAACAAUGCUCUUUGCAGCCUGCCUGACAAUGUAAGCACCGCUUCUAUCCACCUUGGUAGGGUCCUUCCCAGAGAAAGCACCACCACCAUGAGCGCCCCAUCCUCCAUAAGUAUCAACAACGAUCUUGCGACCAGUGAGACCGGCAUCGCCAUGGGGACCUCCAAUGACAAAACGGCCAGAUGGGUUAAGGUGGAAAAUGGUCUUCUCAUCAAGGUACUUCUCAGGAAUAACCGGCUUGAUGACAUGCUCCUUCAAAUCAGCGGCAAUCUUGUCAUUAGUCACAGUCUCAUCAUGCUGAGUGGAGAUGAGCACAGUGUGCACACGAACAGGCACCAUGGCACCCUUAUCGUUGUAAUACUCAACCGUGACUUGAGUCUUGCC